AUACAUGCAAGUCGAGCGGAACAGAUGGGAGCUUGCUCCCUGAUGUUAGCGGCGGACGGGUGAGUAACACGUGGGUAACCUGCCUGUAAGACUGGGAUAACUCCGGGAAACCGGGGCUAAUACCGGAUGGUUGUUUGAACCGCAUGGUUCAAACAUAAAAGGUGGCUUCGGCUACCACUUACAGAUGGACCCGCGGCGCAUUAGCUAGUUGGUGAGGUAAUGGCUCACCAAGGCAACGAUGCGUAGCCGACCUGAGAGGGUGAUCGGCCACACUGGGACUGAGACACGGCCCAGACUCCUACGGGAGGCAGCAGUAGGGAAUCUUCCGCAAUGGACGAAAGUCUGACGGAGCAACGCCGCGUGAGUGAUGAAGGUUUUCGGAUCGUAAAGCUCUGUUGUUAGGGAAGAACAAGUACCGUUCGAAUAGGGCGGUACCUUGACGGUACCUAACCAGAAAGCCACGGCUAACUACGUGCCAGCAGCCGCGGUAAUACGUAGGUGGCAAGCGUUGUCCGGAAUUAUUGGGCGUAAAGGGCUCGCAGGCGGUUUCUUAAGUCUGAUGUGAAAGCCCCCGGCUCAACCGGGGAGGGUCAUUGGAAACUGGGGAACUUGAGUGCAGAAGAGGAGAGUGGAAUUUCACGUGUAGCGGUGAAAUGCGUAGAGAUGUGGAGGAACACCAGUGGCGAAGGCGACUCUCUGGUCUGUAACUGACGCUGAGGAGCGAAAGCGUGGGGAGCGAACAGGAUUAGAUACCCUGGUAGUCACGCCGUAAACGAUGAGUGCUAAGUGUUAGGGGGUUUCCGCCCCUUAGUGCUGCAGCUAACGCAUUAAGCACUCCGCCUGGGGAGUACGGUCGCAAGACUGAAACUCAAAGGAAUUGACGGGGGCCCGCACAAGCGGUGGAGCAUGGGUUUAAUUCGAAGCAACGCGAAGAACCUUACCAGGUCUUGACAUCCUCUGACAAUCCUAGAGAUAGGACGUCCCCUUCGGGGGCAGAGUGACAGGUGGUGCAUGGUUGUCGUCAGCUCGUGUCGUGAGAUGUUGGGUUAGUCCCGCAACGAGCGCAACCCUUGAUCUUAGUUGCCAGCAUUCAGUUGGGCACUCUAAGGUGACUGCCGGUGACAAACCGGAGGAAGGUGGGGAUGACGUCAAAUCAUCAUGCCCCUUAUGACCUGGGCUACACACGUGCUACAAUGGACAGAACAAAGGGCAGCGAAACCGCGAGGUUAAGCCAAUCCCACAAAUCUGUUCUCAGUUCGGAUCGCAGUCUGCAACUCGACUGCGUGAAGCUGGAAUCGCUAGUAAUCGCGGAUCAGCAUGCCGCGGUGAAUACGUUCCCGGGCCUUGUACACACCGCCCGUCACACCACGAGAGUUUGUAACACCCGAAGUCGGUGAGGUAACCUUUAGGAGCCAGCC
rnacentral:rRNA from 1 species